UGCCAGCCGCCGCGGUAAUACGGAGGAUCCAAGCGUUAUCCGGAAUCAUUGGGUUUAAAGGGUCCGUAGGCGGACUAAUAAGUCAGAGGUGAAAGUUUGCAGCUCAACUGUAAAAUUGCCUUUGAUACUGUUAGUCUUGAGUUAUAGUGAAGUGGUUAGAAUAAGUGGUGUAGCGGUGAAAUGCAUAGAUAUCACUUAGAAUACCGAUUGCGAAGGCAGAUCACUAACUGUAUACUGACGCUGAGGGACGAAAGCAUGGGUAGCGAACGGGAUUAGAUA
rnacentral:rRNA from 1 species